CCUACGGGAGGCAGCAGUGGGGAAUAUUGGACAAUGGGCGAAAGCCUGAUCCAGCAAUUCCGCGUGUGUGAAGAAGGCCUUCGGGUUGUAAAGCACUUUAGUGGGGGAAGAAACAGCUUGGCCACACCAAGCCUUGACGGUACCCCAAGAAUAAGCACCGGCUAACUCUGUGCCAGCAGCCGCGGUAAUACAGAGGGUGCAAGCGUUAAUCGGAUUUACUGGGCGUAAAGGGUGCGUAGGUGGCUAUUUAAGUCGGAUGUGAAAGCCCGGGGCUCAACCUCGGAAUUGCAUUCGAUACUGAGUGGCUAGAGUUCGGUAGAGGGCGGCGGAAUUUCCGGUGUAGCGGUGAAAUGCGUAGAUAUCGGAAGGAACAUCAAUGGCGAAGGCAGCCGCCUGGGCCUGGACUGACACUGAGGCACGAAAACGUGGGUAGCAAACAGGAUUAGAUACCCUGGUAGUCCACGCCGUAAACGAUGAGAACUUGACGUUGGUUCGUUUUACGAAUCGGUGUCGCAGCUACGACGAUAAGUUACUCCGUCCGUCGGGUAGGUACGGCCGCGAGGUUAGUAACGUACAAUAGAAGUUAGACGGCGUGAGACGUCGCCGAACGGACGACGACGAGGGAGGUAGG
rnacentral:rRNA from 1 species